UUGCUCUUUUCAGAAUUGAGUGGCAAACGGGUGAGUAACACGUAAACAACCUGCCUUCAGGAUGGGGACAACAGACGGAAACGACUGCUAAUACCGCAUAACAUAUAGAUGUCGCAUGGCAUUUAUAUCAAAGAUUUAUCGCUGAAAGAUGGCCUCGCGUCUGAUUAGCUAGUUGGUGAGGUAAUGGCCCACCAAGGCGACGAUCGGUAGCCGGACUGAGAGGUUGAACGGCCACAUUGGGACUGAGACACGGCCCAGACUCC
rnacentral:rRNA from 1 species